rnacentral:rRNA from 2 species
CCAAGAGGGCUAAAUGCAGUCGACGAUGAACACCUUCUGGUGGGGAUUAGUGGCGAACGGGUGAGUAACACGUGGGCGAUCUGCCCUGCACUCUGGGACAAGCCCUGGAAACGGGGUCUAAUACCGGAUACUGACCUGCCAAGGCAUCUUGGCGGGUCGAAAGCUCCGGCGGUGCACGAUGAGCCCGCGGCCUAUCAGCUUGUUGGUGAGGUAAUGGCUCACCAAGGCGACGACGGGUAGCCGGCCUGAGAGGGAGACCGGCCACACUGGGACUGAGACACGGCCCAGACUCCUACCGGAGGCAGCAGUGGGGAAUAUUGCAAUGGGCGAAAGCCUGAUGCAACGACGCCGCAUGAGGGAUGACGGCCUUCGGGUUGUAAACCUCUUUCAGCACGGAAGAAGCGAAAGUGACCGUACCUGCAUAAGAAGCGCCGGCUAACUACCUGCCAGCAGCCGCGGUAAUACGUAUGGCGCAAGCGUUGUCCGGAAUUAUUGGGCGUAAAGAGCUCGUAUGCCGCUUGUCUCGUCGGUUGUGAAAGCCCGGGGCUUAACACCGGGUCUGCAGUCGAUACCGGCAGGCUAGACUUCGGUAGGGGAUAUCGGAAUUCCUGGUGUAGCGGUGAAAUGCGCAGAUAUCAUGAGGAACACCGGUGGCGAAGGCGGAUCUCUGGGCCGAUACUGACUCUGAAGAGCGAAACCCUGGGGAGCGAACAAGAUUAAAUACCCUGGUAGUCCACGCCGUACACGGUGAGCACUACGUGUGGGCAACAUUCCACGUUGUCCGUGCCGCAUCUAACGCAUUAAGUGCCCCGCCUGGGGAGUACGGCCGCAAGGCUAACACUCUA